GGGACUUUAGCUCACCUGGGAGAGCGUGCGACUGAAGAUCGCAAGGUACGUGGUUCAAGUCCGCGAAGUCCCA
rfam:Trichomonas vaginalis G3, whole genome shotgun sequence.